UAGGGAAUCUUCGGCAAUGGACGAAAGUCUGACCGAGCAACGCCGCGUGAGUGAAGAAGGUUUUCGGAUCGUAAAACUCUGUUGUUAGAGAAGAACAAGGACGUUAGUAACUGAACGUCCCCUGACGGUAUCUAACCAGAAAGCCACGGCUAACUACGUGCCAGCAGCCGCGGUAAUACGUAGGUGGCAAGCGUUGUCCGGAUUUAUUGGGCGUAAAGCGAGCGCAGGCGGUUUCUUAAGUCUGAUGUGAAAGCCCCCGGCUCAACCGGGGAGGGUCAUUGGAAACUGGGAGACUUGAGUGCAGAAGAGGAGAGUGGAAUUCCAUGUGUAGCGGUGAAAUGCGUAGAUAUAUGGAGGAACACCAGUGGCGAAGGCGGUUCUCUGGUCUGUAAAUGAAGCUGAGGCUCGAAAGCGUGGGGAGCAAACAGG
rnacentral:rRNA from 1 species